UUUAACACAUGCAGGCAGGACGCUGUCUCCUCAGGGCUGAAGGGUUCCGGGUAGGACUGAAACCUGAGCCGCUCUGCUUACACAAUGAGCGAACGUUUGAUGUUCGGCCUUUUAAUUUUCACUCUAUAUCCAGGUGCGGUGCUGGGUGACUCGGUCCAGCCCAGGGAACCCCAGAUGUCUGGAGCUGAAGGCGGCUCCGUGACCCUCAGCUGUUCUUAUAAAACCAGCUACACUGCUGGUGUCUAUCUCUACUGGUACCGUCAGUACCCGAACCGAGCCCCGCAGUACAUCCUGCGGAGAGGAACGAAGGAAGCCAGAUCUGGCAGUGAUACCGCAGAUUUCGCCCAGCAGAGGUUUUCUUCCCAGGCUGAUGGCAACUCCACUGCUCUGAACAUCACAGCGCUGGAGCUGGCGGACACCGCGGUGUAUCUCUGCGCCCUGCAGCGGGCACAGUGACAGAGCCACGGAGCAGAGCUGCACAAAAACCCUCCCCUUCCCUUCGCCUUCAGGGGCUCGGCAUGGACAAGGGACCAGAGAGAGCGUCCCCGUGACCCAGCAUUCGCCCCCAGUGAGGGAUGCAGCGCUGGGCCACAGCUCAGACAGCUCGGUACUGUCCUCCCUGUCAACAUCUCGGCGAUACAUUACAUAUCUAUCCAUAAAUACAUGUCAAUGCAUCGAUGCCUUCCUGCCUUCCGCACGGCUCUUAAAUCCCAGCCCAAAUGUCUAAACGCAGCGGGGUCUGUGUCUUGUCUGUGCAGUGUCUGGGCAGCACCCAGGACAAUGGGGCCCCGAUAUCAGCUGAGGCUAGAUGUACCCACAGUGCUCCUCCUCCUCCUCAUGCCCCGCACUCAUCGCAGAACUUGGGCGUUUUACACAAUUACUUAAUGACAAAAGACUCGGAGAUCCAAAAAGUCAAAACUAUGUGACCAUUAAGACAUGAUACUGACAUUUCAUUUGUCAAAGUAAACAGACUUAAAUCAAACUCCAGUAGGUUUCCAAGCAGUAUUGUUCUUAACUGAGUUUCACAGCUAGGCAAAGGAUUAUCAGUGGAAAUAUUUUUACCUGGUGUUUGUGUUUGUGUGUGUUGAAAUCCUCAUUUAUUGACUUUUACUACUAGAAAUCUAAUCCCCCGCAAGACUAUGUAUAGGGCAUAAAAAGGAUGCUCAUCUAGUGGAUUCAUUUGGCAAAGUUUUAUGACCGGUUGCUAGCCUGAUGUCAAGUCUCCUGCUUUUUCAGUCAGGCUUGGGAGUAGCAUACUUACAACCACUAAUGCUAGCCACUAAGCAGGUGUUAAAUGGCGAAGUCUAGGGAGAAGAUCUUUUUUUUUCUUAAGAAGCAGCGAAACAUUUUCCCCAACCUCCUGUAACUAUGAAAUGGCUUGUAGGAAUAAUCUUUGAAAUAAUCUCUUCUGGAG